rnacentral:rRNA from 1 species
AUGGUUAUAGGGGACUUUAAUGAAAUCUUAUACUCGACAGAGAAAGACGGUGCCCCCCGACAACAGUCGAGGUUGCAGGCGUUCCAAGACGCCUUGUCUGAUUGUAUGUCGGAGGAUAUCGGUUAUAAUGGGGAUAGAUUCACUUGGUUCCGAGGAGGGUUCCGAGAGAGACUAGACAGAGCGGUCACAAACGCGGCUUGGCUUUUAUUACAUCCGUUUGCUGGUCUCAGUAAUCUUGACAUGGGAAAAUCAGACCACCGGCCCAUACUA